GACGAACGCUGGCGGCGUGCUUAACACAUGCAAGUCGAACGGAAAGGCCCUGCUUUUGUGGGGUGCUCGAGUGGCGAACGGGUGAGUAACACGUGAGUAACCUGCCCUUGACUUUGGGAUAACUUCAGGAAAAUGGGGCUAAUACCGGAGAGGAGCUCCUGCUGCAUGGUGGGGGUUGGAAAGUUUCGGCGGUUGGGGAUGGACUCGCGGCUUAUCAGCUUGUUGGUGGGGUAGUGGCUUACCAAGGCUUUGACGGGUAGCCGGCCUGAGAGGGUGACCGGCCACAUUGGGACUGAGAUACGGCCCAGACUCCUACGGGAGGCAGCAGUGGGGAAUAUUGCACAAUGGGCGGAAGCCUGAUGCAGCAACGCCGCGUGCGGGAUGACGGCCUUCGGGUUGUAAACCGCUUUCGCCUGUGACGAAGCGUGAGUGACGGUAAUGGGUAAAGAAGCACCGGCUAACUACGUG
rnacentral:rRNA from 1 species